rnacentral:rRNA from 1 species
CCUACGGGAGGCAGCAGUGGGGAAUAUUGGGCAAUGGGCGCAAGCCUGACCCAGCAACGCCGCGUGAAGGAAGAAGGCCUUCGGGUUGUAAACUUCUUUUGACAGGGAAGAGUAGAAGACGGCAUCUGUCGAAUAAGCUACGGCUAACGACGUGCCAGCAGCCGCGGUAAUACGUAGGGGGCAAGCGUUGUCCGGAUUUACUGGGUGUAAAGGGCGUGUAGCCGGGUUGACAAGUCAGAUGUGAAAUCCUGCGGCUUAACCGCAGAACUGCAUUUGAAACUGUUGGUCUUGAGUACUGGAGAGGCAGGCGGAAUUCGUGGUGUAGCGGUGAAAUGCGUAGAUAUUAGGAAGAACACCGAUGGCGAAGGCGGUCUACUGGACAGCAACUGACGGUGAGGCGCGAAAGCGUGGGGAGCAAACAGGAUUAGAUACCCCAGUAGUC